CCAGAGGGGGUGUACAGACCAAAAUCAAAAUGGCAAACUUUUCUCUAUACCAUUUAUUUUCUUCUAAUUUGUGGAAAUUGGUUGUAUUGUGUGUAAGCUCCUUCAGAAAACGAACUUAUUUUAUGUUGUUUGUAAUAAAGCAACAUCCCUAGUAACUUGUGCUAAUUGAUUCUCCUUAUUGUUGCAGCAAGAUCACUAGCACACAUGCUGAUGUGCACCCAAUUUCACUGAGGACUCUGCGAUGCAUCUGUAUCCCAUACUAUACUCAGAAUACUCUUUAGUUGGGCGGACAGCGGGAGGUGGAUGGCUUUUGGUGCAACAUAAAAUGGCUGACAGCGGGAAACAUGGAUGCAUCAGAGGAUUGGAAGAUGCACUACAAUGGCCGAUACUGGAGCUCCCGUCCCCACCAAAGGCCUCAGGCACCCAAUGGCAGUGGCGCCUUGGCUCUUACCGGUGACUGCAGCAGCAGCGUACCAGAUAUCAGCUCCCUAGACAAGUCUCUUCAGCACUGCUUCCUUGUGGACUAGCUGACUAUCACAAUGCGGCAGAGAAAAUUCUAGUGACGGUCAGAACAUAAGCUACGGCAUGAGCUAGCGUGCAAGACACUGACAUAAUUGUGUUGGUUAGGUGUGGUCUUUCUCAGGGUAGAUAAGCUCUGGGAGUAAUCAGCGACAGGAAGCAAACUUUAAUUAGUGACUCUAAAAGCCCUCUUUUCAAAAGCUGGAAUUUUGUUGUACCUGAGUGAAAAUUAUGGUGUUCGCUACGGAAUUCUUACAUUCUGGACAACCAAUUCAGUUAGUACUGAAUCCUUCGGUGAACAAUAGAACAACAUAUGUUUUCCCAAA